CCUACGGGGUGCAGCAGGCGCGAAAACUUUACAAUGCGGGCAACCGUGAUAAGGGAACCUCGAGUGCCUGUAUAUGCAGGCUGUCCAGGUGUCUAAAACACACCUGAAGAAAGGGCCGGGCAAGACCGGUGCCAGCCGCCGCGGUAAUACCGGCGGCUCGAGUGGUGGCCACUUUUAUUGGGCUUAAAGCGUUCGUAGCUGGGUUGUUAAGUCUCUUGGGAAAUCUGGCAGCUUAACUGUCAGGCGUCUAAGGGAUACUGGCAAUCUUGGGACCGGGAGAGGUGAGGGGUACUUCGGGGGUAGGAGUGAAAUCCUGUAAUCCUCGAGGGACCACCUGUGGCGAAGGCGCCUCACCAGAACGGCUUCGACAGUGAGGGACGAAAGCUGGGGGAGCAAACCGGAUUAGAUACCCCAGUAGUCC
rnacentral:rRNA from 1 species